rnacentral:rRNA from 1 species
UACAGAGGUCUCAAGCGUUGUUCGGAUUCAUUGGGCGUAAAGGGUGUGUAGGUGGCGCCGUAAGUCGGGUGUGAAAUUUCGGAGCUUAACUCCGAAACUGCAUUCGAUACUGCGGUGCUUGAGGACUGGGAGAGGAGACUGGAAUUCAUGGUGUAGCAGUGAAAUGCGUAGAGAUCAUGAGGAAGACCAGUGGCGAAGGCGGGUCUCUGGACAGUUCCUGACACUGAGGCACGAAGGUCAGGGGAGCAAACGGG